rnacentral:rRNA from 1 species
AACGAACGCUGGCGGCAGGCUUAACACAUGCAAGUCGAACGGUUGUAGCAAUACAGCAGUGGCAGACGGGUGAGUAACACGUGGGAACCUUCCUAGGGGUACGGAACAACUCAGGGAAACUUGAGCUAAUACCGUAUACGUCCGUGAGGAGAAAGAUUUAUCGCCCUUAGACGGGCCCGCGUCGGAUGAGCUAGUUGGUGGGGUAACGGCCUACCAAGGCGACGAUCCGGAGCUGAUCUUAGAGGAUGAUCAGCCACACUGGGACUGAGACACGGCCCAGACUCCUACGGGAGGCAGCAGUGGGGAAUCUUGGACAAUGGGCGCAAGCCUGAUCCAGCCAUGCCGCGUGAGUGAAGAAGGUCUUCGGAUUGUAAAGCUCUUUUGCCAGGGACGAUAAUGACGGUACCUGGAGAAUAAGCCCCGGCAAACUUCGUGCCAGCCGCCGCGGUAA